AAUGAACGCUGGCGGCGCGCCUAAUACAUGCAAGUCGAGCGAGAAGACGUAGCAAUACGUUUGUAAAGCGGCGAACGGGUGAGGAAUACAUGGGUAACCUACCCUAGAGUGGGGAAUAACUAGCCGAAAGGUUAGCUAAUACCGCGUACGCUCCUUGGACUUCGGUUCAGGGAGGAAAGCGAUGCCGAGGGUAUCGCGCUCUUGGAUGGGCUCAUGUCCUAUCAGCUUGUUGGGAGGUAACGGCUCACCAAGGCUUCGACGGGUAGCUGGUCUGAGAGGACGAUCAGCCACACUGGCACUGCGACACGGGCCAGACUCCUACGGGAGGCAGCAGUAAGGAAUAUUGCGCAAUGGGCGAAAGCCUGACGCAGCGACGCCGCGUGGGGGAUGAA
rnacentral:rRNA from 1 species